CAUGUUCUGGUCCUUUGGUUCUGGAUCUUUGGUUCUGUGGUCAUUUUAGGUCAAGACUUCUUCUUUUGCUCCUGCUCUAGCUAUGUAACUUUUGCAUUUUCUGGAACACCAUUCUUAAUCACUCUGUUAAUAAGAGAUGGGGUCAGUUGAACCGGUCCAGGAGGGCCUGCAGUUACACUGUUAACAUUGAUUAUUCCUUGAAUAGUCAAGUUAGGGGAAGUGAUUUCUGCAGUAGGUGACUUGACACUGGUGCACAUAAAAGCUCAUGACAGGGACACAUCUUGCUGGUAUUUACUGUUUGUUAGAUUCCCUGCCAGCUGAUGUUAAAGCGUACAAGACAUUGGACCAGCCCUUCAGGAGAAAAUUCGACUCACGCAAAGGAGGAAAAAUGGCAAUGCAAGAAAACCUUUCUGUCAAACAGUCUCAGGACUGCUGACUGCUGAAAUGUAAAUCCUAUUACAAUGUCUGGACGUGGAAACAGCAAGUGUCUUCCAAGAUAAAACAAUGAGUGCUAAGCUCAAGGAGCAUUAAAAGGAAACUAUCG
rnacentral:lncRNA from 1 species